rnacentral:rRNA from 1 species
AUUGAACGCUGGCGGCAGGCCUAACACAUGCAAGUCGAACGAGUGGCGGACGGGUGAGUAAUGUAUGGGAAACUGCCUGAUGGAGGGGGAUAACUACUGGAAACGGUAGCUAAUACCGCAUACCGCCAGAUGUGCCCGGAUGGGAUUAGCUUGUUGGUGGGGUAACGGCUAACCAAGGCGACGAUCCCUAGCUGGUCUGAGAGGGUGAUCAGCCACACUGGAACAGAGACACGGUCCAGACUCAUAGGGGAGGCAGCAGUGGGUACUAUUGAGCAAGGGGCGCAAGCCUGAUCCAGCAAUGCCGCGUGUAUGAAGAAGGCUUUCGGGUUGUAAAGUACUUUCAGCGGGGAAGCGUUAUCCCCAGAAAAAGCACCGGCUAACUACGUGCCAGCCGCCGCGGUAAUAC